UAUCCCUCGGUCCAACCCACUUUCAGCCUGGUGCAUUAGGGGGCGCUAGUAUAAAUAGUGGCCAUUUGAGUGUCCCUGGAUCGCUUACCUGUGAUCUCCUUUUUGGUCACCUGACUUCCCUUUGGUGUUGCCGAGAUCAUUUGCGGGUUACUCUUCUGAAGCCUCCAUCGCGGCUGGUCGUAGCUGUAGAAGCCUCCUCUGAGCCAUUCUGCUCACGUUCUAUGACACGGCUUACUUGGAAGUGUGGGCCUGAGUUUUGCGCCAAGCUACGUGAACUGAAGUGCUGCUGUUUUGCUUUGCUUUGCUUUGCUGUGCUUUUACCGUCUGUUCCCGUUGCGAGAUUUCUUUUCCUGCUGCUGCCAGCUUUUA